AAUAAAGUGGCUGAGUUUAGGCGGUAGAUUGUAAAUCUAUAAACGAGUUAAUAUUCCUUUAUUA
rnacentral:tRNA from 3 species